UUUUGUAGGCACUAACUCCACUAUGGUUCGUUUGGACAAAGCCUAUCGGGAAAAUUAAUGUCGUUUUGGGAUAAACGCCUUAAAUGAGGACUACAAGCUGGCGAGCUCUAUGCAUUGGCAUGCUGCGCAGAUCUUUUGUUGUACUACAUCUUCACUUCAAGAGGACCAGCAGCAGCACUGGUCCAAAAAAAAAGACAAGGAUGCACCAUGCAGAGUUCUACGGGGAAACAACCACUGAGUUUAGUUUUAUUUGAUACUGCAGAUCCUACAAACCAACUGUGUAAGAACACAGCCCUGCCUACCCCACACACCUCCCUUGGAUGACUACAGAGCAGUGAUGUCCAAUCCUGUUAACAUAAGGCUGUCCUUGAGGUUUCCCUUCAAUCCAGGUCUUUUGAAUGAAGUACUGUAUUUAACCAAAUUAUAUCAAAAUUGUUUUAUAUAGAAAGGAGAUAAAGGGAAACUUGCAGAAUAACAGCCCCAAGACCAAAGUUGGCCACCACCGUGUUUAGCUGACUAAGACUUACAAGCCACAUGAUACAAAAAUAAGUUUCUUUAAAUAAAAAAUAAAAAAAAGACAUUCACAUCCAAAAUGAUGAAAAUGUAUUUUUCCUGUUUAUUUACUUAAUAUUUAUAUAUUUUUUACACAAAAGAAACAGAACAAAAAAGCUAACAAGUGAGGAUUUACAAAGGGGGAGGGUGGAAGCCAUUGAACAAAUAAGGACUAGAGUACUUUUUUUAUUUUUUAUAUGUACAAGUUUAUCCAUUUAAAUACCUUUUUUUAUGCACAGUACAAAAAUCACUGACAAAACCAUAGUACAAUUUUGUCCAUCAGUAAUCAUUGCUGCAGCUUUCCUAAUAUAUUGGGGAGACAGGUGGCGGGAACGUGUAGAGGGAUUAGAAAAAUAACUGAUUCAACACAUAGGUAGGUAAGGGUGUGCCCUGGCCUCUCGUACAACGUCAUUUUGUACUCCAGAUGUCUUGCAGAAUAAGCAACAAUCUACAAAUGUUACACUUUUAAAUCAGGGGUAAAGCUAUUUUACAACAUAGAAUAAUGGGAAAUCAUUUUACAUGGUGUAAGGGUUGUGUACCUCACUGUGUUUGGGAGUAACAAGGACCGGUACACAC